GUCAAUGUGGGAGCUGGCUUGCCUGCGAUAGCUGCAGUGAAUUCACCACUGCUAUAGCAGGCAAGCCAGCUCCCACAUUUGA
rnacentral:misc_RNA from 1 species